GGCAGGCCUCGGUCCGUUAAUUUAAGCGGGAGAUGGGAACCUAACCCUCAAAGUUCACCGACCCUCGAAGUUCCUAACCCAGGCUCAAGCGCACCUGAGAUCAGUAAACUGAGGCCCAGAGAGAGGAAAUGACUCUCCCAAAGCCGUGCACGGUAAGCGUGUCGACAGCAGCCACACCCACGGCUCCUGCCAACUAGACCGGGGCUCUCCACAACGCUGGCUGCCGUUCUUAAUGCACAGAUCAAUCACUAAACACAGAUAAUUUUGACAGAGCUGGGUCAGUGAAGUCAACCUUUCUCUCCCCAUCUCAGCAUUGCUACCUUCCUCUGCAGGCGGUCAGAAGGAUCCUGGAUGAAAAUGACCUGAAAAGAUGGCAGAUGAAAAGCGCUUGAGGAAAGAAACAGAGAGGGGACUCACACAUUUUGAGCGUCUGUCACAAGGCGUCACCUCGCUGACAUCCCGCGGCAGAGUCCUCUGGAACAGGUGCGACCGUCAUCACCGUUUUACCCACAGAUAAGAAGACUGAGACCAAAAGAGUAAAUUUCAGGUCUUCCUCAACAGAAGCUAAGAGUUCCCACUGCUUGAAGAGAAACGGCAGCCUAGCAAAGUCCAAGGUUCCCAGAGAUGCAAGCCCAAAUAUGUUGAUGCUUAAAUAAAAUUUAUACUGUUCA